CAUGUGCCAGCUGCUAAUGCAAUAAAUUCGGAUUGCAUAGUAGAAUGAGAAAUGCAAGUUUGUUUCUUGGAUGCCCAACAAAUGGCGACACCCCCCAAGGUAAAUAUUCAACUUGAGUAUUACUUGUAAACCUUGAAAGUUUACUAACGGCAAAUACUAUAUCAGAGCACUGAGCCAACUUUUUAGAUUGAAUGAAGUUACUAAGCUAGUCACCUCACCUUUCUUUCUUACAUGCCCUUAUUAGUAGUAGCCAAGUGCAUAGCAUACAUCAAACUGCCAAUUGCAUUGAGCCACUGUUCCUCCAGUCUUUUCAGUUAGUUUGAUACUUGAAUCAUAUGAAGUUUUAGACUCCACUAUGCCCAGAUGACUGAACUUGGUAAGAAUAUUAUCAAUGUAAUGAGUUUGUGAUAAAGUCACUAUCUUAUCGCUUCUUUGAACUUUGAUACCUAAGAUAGUAUCUACUUCAUUCAAUCUUUCAUUUUAAAGACUGAAGUUAGAUACUUCUUAGUCUUAGAAAUUCCAAGCAUGUUCGUAUCAAAAAUCAACAUGUCGUCUGCUAGUAGCAAACCUGUUGUUGUAUGUGAAAGAAAGAAAAGUAGACAAAACAAAAGAAAGAAAAAUAAAAAAGAGAUGAACUUAUGAUAUAAGCUCUUAUAUCCGCAUUCAAUUAAUAAAGAGUUAUUCUUUGUGUGACUAUGAAGUAGGCAAAAUUUCCGAACCACGUAAAUAUUGUCUUGUCUUGUGCAAUUUAUUGCUUUUCUCUUUCAAAUAUGUUUCUCUUCUAUUAGCCUGACACGUUUCCCAACAACUGGUAUCAGAGCACAGACAAUGUAAUUCUGGUAAAAAAGUACGUUAUCAGUGCAGGUACUAUUCACAAGAAUAGUGCGACAUUAUUGAUCAUCGUUAUUAUUCACAUAAAUUAUUUUUGUGAAAAAUAGCAUCGGAAGAAGGGAAUGUUAAUAUUGACAAGUUCAAUGGUAAAUAUUUUGAAUUCUAAAAAAUACAAAUAGAGGAUUAUUUGUACCAGAAAAGAUUACACUUACCUCUGACCGAGGUAAAACCAGAGAAUAUGGCCAAAGCGGAUUGGGAUCUAUUAGAUCGCCAAGCUCUUCGUGCGAUUCGUUUGACGCUAACACGAAAUGAGACGUUUAACAUCAUUAACGAGAAGACCACUGCAUGCUUGAUGAAGGCAUUAUCAAAUAUGUACGAGAAGCCAUCUACUUCAAAUAAUGUCUAUUUGAUGCGUCGAUUGUUCAACUUAAAGAUGAAAAAAAGUGGAUCUGUCACGGAACAUAUCAAUGAGUUUAAUGUAAUAUUAACUCAGUUGAGUUCUGUCAAUAUAAUAUUCGAUAAUGAAAUCAGGGCAUUGAUUCUACUAUAAUCUUUAUUGGAAAGUUGGUCUGCAAUAGUAAUUGCAGUUAGCAGUUCAUCGGGAAGUACCAAACUCAAAUUGGAUGAUAUUAGAGACUUGCUUCUAAGUGAAGAUAUUUGCCAGAGAGAAUCAAGUGAUUCCCCAGGAUUUGCUUUGAAUACCGAAAGCAGGGGGAGAAACAGCCAAAGAGGACAAAGUCAUGGUCGUGGCAGAUCAAAGUCAAGGAGAAGAGGAAAAUUCAAAAAUCGCAAAGACAUUAUGUGUUGGAAUUGCGAUAAAAAGGGUCACUACAAUAGUCAGUGAUGAUAAUUCAGCAAAUGCAAUUGCUGAACAAGUUGGUGAUGUACUAAUUUGUUUUAUAGACAGUCCAGUCGAAUCUUGGAUUCUCGACUUAAGUGCAUCAUUUUACUCUACAUCAUGCAAAGAAUUAUUGCAUAAUUAUAUUGCUGGAAAAUUUGGGAUGGUUUAUCUAGCAGACGGCGAACCUCUAGACAUUGUCGGGAAAUGUGAAGUUCAUAUAAAGGCUUCACAAGGCACGCUAUGAAAAUUGCAAAAUGUCUGACAUGUUCCUAACCUCAAGAAAAAUCUGAUAUCUAUGGGUCAGAUUGACAGUGAAGGAUAUACAACAAUAUUCGGUAACGGAUCGUGGAAGAUAACUAAAGGAAAUUUGACUGUGGCACGAGGCUUUAAGAAGGGAACAUUGUGUGCAACUGCAAUACAGAGAGAUAUUAUAGCAACAAUUGAUCAUGGUCGUGAUACAACAUUGUGGCACCGAAGGCUCGGGCAUAUGAGUGAGAAGGGAAUGAAGUUGUUGGCAUCCAAAGAAAAGUUGCCAAACCUAAAGCAAGUUGAAUUAGGUUUGUGCGAAGAUUGCAUUUACGGGAAACAGAAGAGAGUUAGUUUCUCAAAGGUGGAAAGGACGCCAAAGAAAGAGAAGCUGGAACUAGUGCAUACAGAUGUGUGGGGACCAGCACUUGUAACCUUCGUUGAUGAUUCCACAAGAAAGGUAUGGGUUUAUUUUCUGAAAAAUAAAUCUCAUGUGUUUGUUACCUUUAAAAGAUGGAAAGCUGAAGUUGAAAAACAUAACCCUGAAUGAACGAGCCAGAAGUAUGAGAAUACAUUUUGGAUUGCCGAAGUAUUUUUGGGUUGAGGAUAUUAACACGGAAGCUUACCUCAUAAACAUGGGACCCUCUAUACCACUGGAUUUUGAAAUUUCUGUAGAGGUAUGGACAUGAAAGGAGGUAACUCUCUCAUAUCUAAAAUUUUUUGGGUGUGUUGCUUAUGUGCAUGUAAACUCUAAUGAUAAAGAUAAGCUUGAUCCUAAGGCCAAGAAAUGUUUCUUUAUUGGCUAUGGUGAUGAUAAUUUUGGUUAUCAAUUUUGGGAUGAUCAGAAUAGAAAGAUCCUAAGACACAUGAAUGUCACAUUUAAUGAAAAUGUGAUGUACAAAGACAAGCUCGAAGUAGAACCAACCAGCACCAGAAGACGGACAUCUAAAAUAGUUUAGUUAGAAGAAAUAUCAGAAAAUAAAGGGGCUAGAGAGACUACAACUGGAUCUGAAAUUGAAGAUACCGAACCAGAAGCCGAAUCUGGAUCAGAAUCAGAAUCAGAACCAGAAUCAGAGAUAGAAAUAGAUGGAGAACCAUUUUUGGAGUCAGGACUUGAAUCAAAUUCGGGAUCAGUUAAUCCUGAACCUACUUUGAGGAGAUCUAAAAGAGUCACGAAUGCUCCAGAUAGGUUAACUCUCUCUCUCCACUAUUUACUUCUGACUGAUGCUGGAGAACCAAAGCAUUUUAUUGAAGCAAUGCAGGUGAUAAGCUCUGAUAAGUUGAAGCUAGCCAUGAAAGAAGAGAUGAAUUCUCUUCAAAAGAAUAAAACAUAGAUACUUACAGAGUUACCAAAAGGAAAGAAGGCAUUGCAAAGCAAGUGGGUGUACAGGGUCAAGGAAGAUCAUGAUGGUAAGACGAGAUACAAAGCACGAUUAAUAGUAAAAGGCUUUCAGCAGAAGGAAGGGAUUGACUACACCAAGAUCUUCUCUUCUGUAGUCAAAUUAACUACUAUCAGGUUGGUGCUAAGUAUCGUAGCUGCAGAAAAUUUGUAUUUGGAGCAGCUAGAUGUUAAAAUUGCUUUCUUGCAUGGUGACCUUGAAGAAGACAUCUACAUGAAGCAACCUAAAGAUUUUCAAGUUUCUGGUAAACAAACCUUGUGUGUAAGUUGCAGAAGAGUUUGUAUGGUUUGAAACAAGCACCCCGAUAAUAGUACAAGAAAUUUGAUGGAUUCAUGCAUAAUAAUGGUUUCACACGAUGUGAGAUGGACCAUUGUUAUUAUAUCAAAAAUCUUGAUAAAUCCUAUAUCAUUUACUGUUGUACGUUGAUGAUAUGCUAAUUGCAGGAUUUAGCAUAAAUGAGAUCAACAGGGUUAAGCAACAAUUGGCGGAGGAGUUUAAAAUGAAAGACUUAGGACCAGCUAAGCAAAUGCUUAGGAUGAGGAUUAGUAAAAAN
rnacentral:lncRNA from 1 species